rnacentral:rRNA from 1 species
AGCGAACGCUGGCGGCAUGCUUAACACAUGCAAGUCGCACGGGCAGUAGCAAUACUGUCAGUGGCGGACGGGUGAGUAACGCGUAGGAUCUAUCCUUGAAUGGGGACAACCGUGGAACUACGGCUAAUACCGCAUGAUGCCUGAGGGCCAAAGACGAAAGUCGUUUGAGGAGGAGCCUGCGUCUGAUUAGGUAGUUGGUGGGGUAAAGGCCUACCCAAGCCUACGAUCAGUAGCUGGUCUGAGAGGAUGAUCAGCCACAUUGGGACUGAGACACGGCCCAAACUCCUACGGGAGGCAGCAGUGGGGAAUAUUGGACAAUGGGCGCAAGCCUGAUCCAGCAAUGCCGCGUGGGUGAAGAAGGUCUUCGGAUUGUAAAGCCCUUUUGGCGGGGACGAUGAUGACGGUACCCGCAGAAUAAGCUCCGGCUAACUUCGUG